rnacentral:rRNA from 5 species
CCCAGUGCUUCUAGCGGAGUGGGCACACCCGAUUCCAUCCCGAACUCGGAAGUUAAGCAUUCCAGCGCCGAUGGUAGCCUCACGGCAAGAGUAGGUCAGUGCUGGGA